AAAUCACAGAGAAAAAUCUCCCAUCCCACAGUCUCUGAUAAUGAUAAAUAGCCCAGGAGAAGUGAGAGGUGGAAUGUGCUGAGCAGACCACCAUCUUUUCCUCUCAGGCCCUGAGUGAGACGGCCCAAUAGUCUUGGGAACAACAGCCCAGUGCCCUCAGCCACAGUUCUGGGAAGCAACUCCUGGGAGAAGCAGCCUGGCCACCGCUGUAAGAUCCACAGACCCAAAAAAGUCCUUGCCAUGAUCAGUGGUUCGGCAUCAGACACCGUCAGUGUUUUAUUAAUAGAAAGAACGUUAAAGAAGGGAAGAACCAUCUACUUUGCUCUGGGCCCCAAGGACCAUGGGACCCUCCCAGGUGACCGGCAGCUGAAGCCUUCCAUAUGUUGUCUGCUCCAUUAGAAGACUUCCUCUGACACACAUCAAGGCAUCGAGGGAGGAAAUGGAAAAACACUGCAGAAAGAAGUCCCAAGGACAGUCCAUCCCUUUGUGAAACCCGAAGUUCUGAGGCAGGGGUUAUAGCUGAGAACUGAGAAAAGAUCACUGACAUCCUGAGAGCCUUGUGAGCUCCAUAUCUAGCAUUGAAAGGUCUGCCGUGGCAGAGAGAAUGCUGAACUUCAGGGCACCUGAAAGAAGUCCAGUCUGGACUCUGAUAUUUGUGUGAUCUUCCUGUCUGAUCAAUCUUCCUAGAAACUUCAAGGGUUCUUCACAAGGGUCAACAGACAGAAGGAAAUUGUGUAAUGGGAGGAGCUGAUGGAUCUCCCACAACAGCCCCAAUGCAGGGGGAGAUGGGCAGUGGUCUCCCCAUCUGGAAGACUGGGAAAAUGGCGCUCAAAUGGAGGGCGCUAUUCCUAUGAUCACACAGGGAGUUCAAUGGCGAACAUGGGAUUUGAAUCUGACUUCCUCACUCCACAUCAGAAAAAUACGCUGAACUUGGGAGUAAAAAUCAA